rnacentral:sRNA from 1 species
UGAAUGGUAUGUACGUUCCUUUUGGUUGC